AUUUAUAUUUUACUGAAAUUAUCAUUUUGUUAACGUAAAGAAAAAGGACUUUCUGGAGAGCGAAAAAGGCAAGCCGUGAGUGAGUGCCUAAUAAGGCCACAAAACAACUGAGCAAUAAAAAACAAGAAUCCUAAAAUCACCGCCUGGUGACGGACCUGUCCAUACACGUCUUUUUCCAGCUAGCCGUUACAAAUCUCACCGUAGACUACAUUAAUCCGACGGCCACAAAAACAAUAAAUUAAAGAAAAUGUCAUAAUAACAAUAAACUCCCUGAUCUUUUACAUAUUUAUGACUAACUAUGGAUGACAUGGCAUUUUGAUUCAU
rnacentral:lncRNA from 1 species